GGUUAAGCGAAUAAGCGUACACGGUGGAUGCCCUGGCAGUCAGAGGCGAUGAAGGACGUGCUAAUCUGCGAUAAGCGUCGGUAAGGUGAUAUGAACCGUUACAGCCGACGAUUUCCGAAUGGGGAAACCCGGUGCACUCAGUGCAUCAUCGUUAACUGAAUACAUAGGUUAACGAGGCGAACCGGGGGAACUGAAACAUCUAAGUACCCCGAGGAAAAGAAAUCAACCGAGAUUCCCCCAGUAGCGGCGAGCGAACGGGGAGGAGCCCGGAACCAUCAUCAGUGUGUGUGUUAAUGGAAGCGUCUGGAAAGUCGCACGAUACAGGGUGAUAGUCCCGUACAUGAAAAUGCACACAUUGUGAGUUCGAAGAGUAGGGCGGGACACGUGGUAUCCUGUCUGAAUAUGGGGGGACCAUCCUCCAAGGCUAAAUACUCCUGACUGACCGAUAGUGAACCAGUACCGUGAGGGAAAGGCGAAAAGAACCCCGGCGAGGGGAGUGAAAAGAACCUGAAACCGUGUACGUACAAGCAGUGGGAGCACCUUUUAUGGUGUGACUGCGUACCUUUUGUAUAAUGGGUCAGCGACUUAUAUUCUGUAGCAAGGUUAACCGUAUAGGGGAGCCGCAGGGAAACCGAGUCUUAACUGGGCGUUAAGUUGCAGGGUAUAGACCCGAAACCCGGUGAUCUAGCCAUGGGCAGGUUGAAGGUUGGGUAACACUAACUGGAGGACCGAACCGACUAAUGUUGAAAAAUUAGCGGAUGACCUGUGGCUGGGGGUGAAAGGCCAAUCAAACCGGGAGAUAGCUGGUUCUCCCCGAAAGCUAUUUAGGUAGCGCCUCGUGAAUUCAUCUCCGGGGGUAGAGCACUGUUUCGGCUAGGGGGCCAUCCCGGCUUACCAACCCGAUGCAAACUGCGAAUACCGGAGAAUGUUAUCACGGGAGACACACGGCGGGUGCUAACGUCCGUCGUGAAGAGGGAAACAACCCAGACCGCCAGCUAAGGUCCCAAAGUCAUAGUUAAGUGGGAAACGAUGUGGGAAGGCUCAGACAGCCAGGAUGUUGGCUUAGAAGCAGCCAUCAUUUAAAGAAAGCGUAAUAGCUCACUGGUCGAGUCGGCCUGCGCGGAAGAUGUAACGGGGCUAAACUAUGCACCGAAGCUGCGGCAGCGACACUAAGUGUUGUUGGGUAGGGGAGCGUUCUGUAAGCCGUUGAAGGUGGUCUGUGAGGGCUGCUGGAGGUAUCAGAAGUGCGAAUGCUGACAUGAGUAACGAUAAAGCGGGUGAAAAACCCGCUCGCCGGAAGACCAAGGGUUCCUGUCCAACGUUAAUCGGGGCAGGGUGAGUCGACCCCUAAGGCGAGGCUGAAAAGCGUAGUCGAUGGGAAACAGGUUAAUAUUCCUGUACUUGGUGUUACUGCGAAGGGGGGACGGAGAAGGCUAUGUCAUCCGGGCGACGGUUGUCCCGGUUUAAGCGUGUAGGCUGAGAUCCCAGGCAAAUCCGGGAUCUCUUAAGGCUGAGGCGUGAUGACGAGGUGCUACGGCACUGAAGUGACAGAUGCCCUGCUUCCGGGAAAAGCCUCUAAGCUCCAGGUAACACGAAAUCGUACCCCAAACCGACACAGGUGGUCAGGUAGAGAAUACCAAGGCGCUUGAGAGAACUCGGGUGAAGGAACUAGGCAAAAUGGUGCCGUAACUUCGGGAGAAGGCACGCUGGCGCGUAGGUGAAGGGACUUGCUCCCGGAGCUGAAGCCAGUCGAAGAUACCAGCUGGCUGCAACUGUUUAUUAAAAACACAGCACUGUGCAAACACGAAAGUGGACGUAUACGGUGUGACGCCUGCCCGGUGCCGGAAGGUUAAUUGAUGGGGUUAUCCGUAAGGAGAAGCUCUUGAUCGAAGCCCCGGUAAACGGCGGCCGUAACUAUAACGGUCCUAAGGUAGCGAAAUUCCUUGUCGGGUAAGUUCCGACCUGCACGAAUGGCGUAAUGAUGGCCAGGCUGUCUCCACCCGAGACUCAGUGAAAUUGAAAUCGCUGUGAAGAUGCAGUGUACCCGCGGCAAGACGGAAAGACCCCGUGAACCUUUACUAUAGCUUGACACUGAAUAUUGAGCCUUGAUGUGCAGGAUAGGUGGGAGGCACUGAAGUACGGACGCCAGUUCGUACGGAGCCAACCUUGAAAUACCACCCUUUAAUGUUUGAUAUUCUAACGUAGACCCGUAAUCCGGGUUGCGGACAGUGUCUGGUGGGUAGUUUGACUGGGGCGGUCUCCUCCCAAAGAGUAACGGAGGAGCACGAAGGUUAGCUAAUCACGGUCGGACAUCGUGAGGUUAGUGCAAAGGCAUAAGCUAGCUUGACUGCGAGAGUGACGGUUCGAGCAGGUGCGAAAGCAGGUCUUAGUGAUCCGGUGGUUCUGAAUGGAAGGGCCAUCGCUCAACGGAUAAAAGGUACUCCGGGGAUAACAGGCUGAUACCGCCCAAGAGUUCAUAUCGACGGCGGUGUUUGGCACCUCGAUGUCGGCUCAUCACAUCCUGGGGCUGAAGUAGGUCCCAAGGGUACGGCUGUUCGCCGUUUAAAGUGGUACGCGAGCUGGGUUUAGAACGUCGUGAGACAGUUCGGUCCCUAUCUGCCGUGGGCGCUGGAGAAUUGAGGGGGGUUGCUCCUAGUACGAGAGGACCGGAGUGAACGCACCACUGGUGUUCGGGUUGUCAUGCCAAUGGCAUUGCCCGGUAGCUAAGUGCGGAAAAGAUAAGUGCUGAAAGCAUCUAAGCACGAAACUUGCCCCGAGAUGAGUUCUCCCUGACUCCUUGAGAGUCCUGAAGGGACGUUGAAGACUACGACGUUGAUAGGCCGGAUGUGUAAGUGCAGCGAUGCAUUGAGCUAACCGGUACUAAUGACCCGUGAGGCUUAACCUU
rfam:Tatumella ptyseos ATCC 33301 GTPT.assembly.056, whole genome shotgun sequence.